UGUCAGAGGGAAAAAGUUUAUUGAGUCAGCCACAGAGGAACAGAGAAACAGACGCAAGGAGGUUCUCUGUGCAUGGAAGAAAUCAGGGCACUGCACAGCUGAACCCUGUGCAGGACAGAGGGGCGUGGACAGCAGCGCAUGCCACAAACAUUCACCUGGCAAAGAAACAGAGCAGAACCCAAGGGCUCUGUGUACACACAGACACAAACAUGAGGCCACUGUCACCCAACUAAUAGAAAAGAGUCGAGUGAUACGACCCUUCCUUACGACCUCCUCAUAAAAUGUAACAUUAUGUGUUUAACACACACUUAUACCAUUGCUAAAUCAGCAAGAGCUAUUAUAGUGCUCCAACUUAAUAAGUUGAUAAAAAGCUGUCCUGUGGCCAGUUCACAAUGGAACUAAAUAGUUUCAUUCCGAGAUGCCUGGGGAGUUCCUCUGGCAACGAGGCAUUUCCAACAAACGGGUCGUUCUGUCACCAGGGGCUGGUUUCAGUCCACGGUGCCCCUGCGACGUGCCCCUGGCAGCCCUGUGGAGGGCAAGGGGAUGCCGCUGGGAGGGGUGCUCAGUCCUCCUGGAGGCCCCAAGGAGGGGCUGGUCAAGGGGCCACCUUGAGGUUUGGGGGAUCUGGCCGGAGAGUGAUGGCUGGCUUUGCAUGAGGAGGUGACAAGAACUUUAGGCUGGGUCCCCAACAUGCUGUGUGCACGGGCCUCUUCAACCCGGAACUGAACUGACACCUCUCCCAGGCGGUGAAGGGCAGAACCCCCCCCAGGAGCUCUCGGAAGCGGGGGUCCCUCACGACAGGCCUGUGGUAGCAGGCUUGGAGGCAGGGAGCUGGUGUCUCUCAGAAGCGGCAUGUGCUGGUGGGAGGCGGAGGGACAGAUGAGGCCGAUUCCGCAGCAGCAGUCCCUCGCACGCUGUGUGGUGGCUAAAGCUGGACCAAAGUUGAGGCAGAAGCGAAACAGCGUGGGAAAAGGUGUCCAUCUUUUUGGUUAAUGUCUAGUGUGGACAGCAGCAGUAUUUGGUGUUUUACAAACUGGGUCUCUAAUAGGGGCCGCCAUCGCUGGUGGCUGCACAAACCAUUAGCCAUAGAAAGGAAGAGUUGGUAUCUUUGAGUAUUUUUCAAACUUAUCACCUGAACAUCACCGCCCCAGAGGUGGGAGAGCCGAGGGCAGCCCGCAGCACCCCUUCCACCCCUCUUGUUGCUGCAAGGACGGCUUCCUGUUCAGCUCUGGGGUUCUAGAUGGUCACAGACCAAGUCCUCCACACCUGGGGUCUUCAGGAAACACUCCUGAGAGCUGCUGGAAGCCACUAACCAUCUGAGGAGGGCUCAGCGGCCCUGCCUCCCCCCAGGGGACAGGACUGGAUGGAGUGCUUCUCCCAGGGGCCUGAAGUUUUCAAGGACAGGUAUCCAAGAGACAGCACACGGCGCUGGCAUGUUCAGUGGCAGGUCGGAUGAUUCCAGCUAAGACGCCUGCCUGGGAGUGAGAAAAACAACACUCCAAAGCUAGCUCUUCAGCCGCCAGGGACGUCAUGAUGCCAGUCUGUCGACAGACCUGGGAAAGGGGUCACAGGAAGACCGGCCCAGCUGGGAGCUCACAGCCUCUGCCCCUUCCCACCAGCUCGCAUUCCGGCACCUGGAAACUUCUGCCGUGUGUUAAGGGGAAGCUCGUUAAAAGAUUUUUUACUUAGCUGACUUGUAUAGGGAACAAAACCACCACAAACGAGAUCAAUGUUCUCCUAGUUUGGUAACCGGUCUGUGCGCAUCACACAAGACUCGACGCACCAACACCCUGCCUGACACUCCAGCCAGCGCGCAGAGGCACCUGGGACACCAGCCUGCACAGCCCAAACCCCAAGGGUGCCAUGAGCCAUACUCCAGCUGCGUCCUCAGCACUGGAUAGCUGGCCACCUUCCCCAAGGGGCACCUGCACGGCCUCCUCUUCCUCUGGGGCAAGGCUGCCAGCCAGAGCACCUCCCCUUUGACAUUGACCAGUGUCCCCAGCCCGCCUUGGUACUGCAUCUAUCUGAGGUACAAGGUUAGAAGCCACAGACACCUGAGCGGCAGCCUGACCAACACAAGCUGCGGGCACAAUGGCGCGUUGCAGACAAGACAGCCGGCCCGCCUGCCCUUCUCGGCUUCCCUUAAGACACAAGGUGACGACACGGACAGGUUCAAGUGAGUGCAAUCUGGAAAUAAUCUCAGUGCAAGGGAGGGGUUGAGGCUAAAGGAUGCAGCGAUCUGGUCCUCGCUGUGACCAGGCCGGGCCCACACGCACUGCGAGGGCCCUGGUCACCCGUGCCUGCCUCCCAGGAAGGCAGCUCCAGAAACCGACUCUACUGACCCCGGACCCCAGCCCCCGCGGUGCCCACAUUUGGGGUCCGCACACUGACCUGCACACUAAGAAGGGCUUUGCUUGCAAACACCUGAAGGGCUGAUAACUUGACGAGUCUACAAAGUGUGCGGCCACUGACUCCUGUCACCGAGGAGCACCUGACAGUCACGCCUGUCCCUGGCUGGCCCUGGCUUCCGGUGCGUUCAUACUCUGACAGCGACUGUGGCAAGGUCAUGCGCAGGGCACUGCAUGGUCUUUGUUAUCCUUACUUCAGAUUAGUCGAGGCUGGGAUCUCAAGGGUUCACACACUGUUCAGACGGGGGUUGCGAGGCCCCUCUUCCUCCUCAAACUCAAGUCGCAGCCAGGCCCUGAGAUUUCUGCGCUCCCAGCUGGUGAGGAAUCGGCUUUGGUGAGCCCUGGAUCCGCUCCCUGGACCUUCAGAUG
rnacentral:lncRNA from 1 species